CCAGACUCCUACGGGAGGCAGCAGUGGGGAAUAUUGGUCAAUGGGCGGGAGCCUGAACCAGCCAAGUCGCGUGAGGGAAGACGGUCCUACGGAUUGUAAACCUCUUUUGCCGGGGAGCAACGGGGUCCUUGCGAGGGCCCAAUGAGAGUACCCGGAGAAAAAGCAUCGGCUAACUCCGUGCCAGCAGCCGCGGUAAUACGGAGGAUGCGAGCGUUAUCCGGAUUUAUUGGGUUUAAAGGGUGCGUAGGCGGGCUGUUAAGUCAGCGGUCAAAUGUCGGGGCUCAACCCCGGCCUGCCGUUGAAACUGCGUUUCUUGAGUGGGCGAGAAGUACGCGGAAUGCGUGGUGUAGCGGUGAAAUGCAUAGAUAUCACGCAGAACUCCGAUUGCGAAGGCAGCGUACCGGCGCCCAACUGACGCUCAUGCACGAAAGCGUGGGUAUCGAACAGGAUUAGAUACCCUAGUACC
rnacentral:rRNA from 1 species